rnacentral:lncRNA from 10 species
CUUAGGGGUUCUGAUACUUACUCAUCCCCAAUGUGUGUAGUUGUGGUUUUUCAGUCUUGAUGCUGUGUCUCACAAUUUAUUCUACUGAUGAUGGACAUAGCCCUAAUUUGUUUAGAACUGUAAUAUGCACAGUUAAAACAACUUGUCCUCUCAGGACCUUUUGCAGUUAGGGUUGGUCGUAUGACAUGGUCCUGCGAAGAAGAUACGGAUAGAAGUCUGUGGGCCACCAGUGGAUUGAAUGAUGCCCGUAUGCACUGAGAAGGGCCAUGUGUUUACUCGGUCUACCAAUUCAAAUGUUAAUCUCAUCCAAAAACACCCUCACAGAUACCUUUGGAAUGAUGUUUAACCAAAUAUUUGGGUACCGUCUUCCCCAGUGAAGUUGACACAAAAUUAACCAUCACAGCUGCCUUCCUGUGGGCCUCAUGUUAUAUGAGAACAGUAUUGGGUGUACACUUAAAGCGUUCUGGGAAUAUGAAUCCCUUCUGCACCCUGGAAUCACCAGUCCAGCC